rnacentral:rRNA from 1 species
UACGAAGGGUGCAAGCGUUACUCGGAAUUACUGGGCGUAAAGGGUGCGUAGGCGGGUCUUUAAGUCAGGGGUGAAAUCCUGGAGCUCAACUCCAGAACUGCCUUUGAUACUGAAGAUCUUGAGUUCGGGAGAGGUGAGUGGAACUGCGAGCGUAGAGGUGAAAUUCGUAGAUAUUCGCAAGAACACCAGUGGCGAAGGCGGCUCACUGGCCCGAUACUGACGCUGAGGCACGAAAGCGUGGGGAGCAAACAGG